rnacentral:rRNA from 1 species
AUGGAUCUUAAUGUUCACCUUCGUGCUUCUGAUGGUGAGCCCUUGUCUGAUCCGACUCGUUAUCGUCGUCUUGUUGGGAGUCUUGUCUAUCUCGCUGUGACUCAUCCGAAUAUCUCCUAUCCUGUCCAUAUCCUGAGUCAGUUUGUUUCUUCUCCUACUUCGGUUCACUAUAGUCACCUUCUUCGUGUUCUACGAUAUCUUUGUGGCACAAUAUCUCACCGUCUUUUCUUUCUUCGUUCCAGCUCGUUACAGCUCCAGGCCUAUUCGGAUGCUGCCUGGGCUAGUGAUCCUUCGGAUCGUCGUUCACUUUCUGCUUAUUGUGUCUUUCUUGGUGGUUCUCUCAUUGCCUGGAAGAGAAAGAAACAAACUGUUGUUUCCCGUUCGAGUGCAGAGGCUGAGUUGCGAGCUAUGGCUCUUCUCACACUAGAGGUGACUUGGCUACGAUGGUUACUUGAGGAUUUUGAUGUUUCUGUUACUACACCUACUACUCUCUUGUCAGAUAGUAUAGGUGCUAUCAGUAUUGCAUGGGACCCUGUGCAGCAUGAGCUUACCAAGCAUAUUGGUGUUGAUGCUUUCUUUGUGCGCGCUGGUGUGCAGGACCAUGUUAUUGCUCUUCAGUAUGUGCUUUCGGAGUUACAGCUGGCGAACUUCUUCACGAAGGCCCAGACUAGAGCGCAACAUAGAUUUUACUCUUCAAACUCAGUGUUGUGGAUCCACCAUGAGUUUGAG